AGAAAUGUUUUUUAUAGCAAGAAAGAAUUUAAUAAGAGGAAGAAAAGAAAGAAUGACUCACGGUUUGUUUGGCUGGCCAGCCGCGUGGCGUGGGCACAGAGGAAGCUUAAUAAAAAAGGAAAAAGAUUCACGGCCUUAUCUUGUAGCUCUAGGAGGUCUUUGCCGCUUAUCUUCGUUCCCCUGACAAAUCCAUGCUACACUUCUUCACCAUCCAUGGAGCAGAUGUGGCCUGGCCAGCCCCUGCGGAGGUAGCAGCACUGGCGCGCUUGGCCGAAAGAUGUGGCCGGCGGCGCGGGCGCAUCUGGCCGCAUUUGCGAGGGAGGCGACGGUGCCGGCACCACGGCCAGCAAGCAUGGAGGCAGCGCUCAUCCUUCUCCUCUUCUCCUCCAUGGUGAAUCGGGCCUGGCCAGCCCCUGCGGAGGCAGCAGCACUGGCGCGCUUGGCCGAAAGAUGUGGCUGGCGGCGCGGGCGCAUCUGGCUGUGCUUGCGGGGGAGGCGACGGUGCGGGCACCAUGGCCAGCAAGCACGGAGGCGGCGGCACGGGUCCUCUUUGAUUCUUUAUCUAUUUUUCUCGUUUGAUCUCCUCUUCGGCUCUGAUUCGGAUUUGUAUCUAUACUAUAUCCUGAACAUAUCGUAUUGGAGAUAGAAGACAUGAAUCGUCUGAUUUCGGACAGAAAUCCUAGCAGACUAAAACUUUGACUUCCAAUGAGGACGGCACGGACGGGCGGGCGGACGCGGACGCGGACGGGCAGGCAGAAGAAUAGGGAGGCAGACUGAAAUUUUGGCUCUUUAUAGAUAGGUAUAGAUUUGUAAAGGGUGAAAACAGUAUCAAUAUUUUCUUAUCAUAUUCGAGAUUGAAUAUGUUAAGAGUAGUUGAGAUCUGUUCGUAUGCGAAGCUGGAUGUUUUCAACAUCGGAUACUAUAUGCUUAUUUGAGUACUGAAAUUGCAUA